rnacentral:ncRNA from 1 species
AAGAGCCGUGUGAGGGAAAACCUCAAGCACGGUUCUGUGAGGGAUGUCGAAUCUGCUUCUAUGAUUGAAUACUGUGGCACUCCUCAUAUCGAAAGAGUGGAGAAACGGAGAAAACAAACUAUAUCUAAAGAAGGAGAUUUAUGAUGUCUACUCGAC